rnacentral:rRNA from 1 species
GAUGAACGCUGGCGGCGUGCCUAAUACAUGCCAGUCGAGCGAACAGACGAGGAGCUUGCUCCUCUGACGUUAGCGGCGGACGGGUGAGUAACACGUGGAUAACCUACCUAUAAGACUGGGAUAACUUCGGGAAACCGGAGCUAAUACCGGAUAACAUGUUGAACCGCAUGGUUCAACAGUGAAAGACGGUCUUGCUGUCACUUAUAGAUGGAUCCGCGCCGCAUUAGCUAGUUGGUAAGGUAACGGCUUACCAAGGCAACGAUGCGUAGCCGACCUGAUAGGGGGAUCGGCCACACUGGAACUGGAACACGGUCCAGACUCCUACGGGAGGCAGCAGUAGGGAAUCUGCCGCAAUGGGCGAAAGCCUUACGGAGCAACGGCGCGUGAGUGAAGAAGGUCUUCGGAUCGUAAAACUCUGUUAUUAGGGAAGAACAAAUGUGUAAGUAACUAUGCACGGCUUGACGGUACCUAAUCAGAAAGCCACGGCUAACUACGUG